AGCGCCUUGUGGUGCUCGAACAGGGACUUGAGGGCCUUAAGGACCUCCACCUCGCUGGAGACCCCCGCGGGAGACUGUGCCUGACGCUUCACCACCGUCAUCCUCAGGCUACGCUCAUGACGCGACACCAAACAUUCCAGAUUUAGAACUACAAAGGACACAAAUUCCUCGCAGCUCAUGAAAGCGACACGCCGGUGAUUAGAACUGCACGUCAACAAUGUCACCAUGACCAAGUCCAGCAGGAUGCAGCUGCUCCCGGCACAGGUUCAGCUCUUUGGUCAGCACCGCAAACUCCUGCAGGAUACCACCAGAGGCCGAUAUUCAGAAUUCUGUGGUUUAUUUAUUUAUUUAUUUACAAUUGGAGGCCUGAUUCAAAACAGUAUGCUAAUUUGCCCAAAACUAAAGGUUACAAUGACUAAGAGCAGCAUUGGAUUGAACAGUAACAUUAGUCAAACCUGGGUUCAGUUCCUUUUAUUUGUAUUUGAACUAGUGGAGGACUUGUCUGAAUACAUACAUACAAUAUAUUAACACUCUUUUAGGGCCUAAAUCAGCUCCUCGUGAUGCUGGCCACCUUGGCUAAAAUCGUCUAAAUCCUCAACUCUACAGCUGUAAUGUAAUCAGAAUCAGAAUCUGUUUUGUUGGCCAAGUAAGUAAACAACACACAAGGAAUUUGUCUCGAAUAGUUUGAGCCGCCCUAGUACGACAUACACGUCGUGUACAAAAAGCAGUAGACAGACAGUCCACUGAACAAACCCAAAGCAGAAAAUUAUCAGCAUGUUACAGUGGAAUUGUACUGUGAGUUAGCCGGUCAAGGAUUUAUUUAUUUGCGAGUGGGAAGAAGCUGUUGGAAUCCCUGCUCGUUUUGAUUAAUUCCAUACAUCAAUUUUCUAUACCGCUUAUGCACACUAGGGUCGAGAGUAUGCUGUAGCGUAUCUUAGGUGACUCUGGACAACAGGCAGUUUAAACCCUGAAUUGGUCGCCACCAAAUCUCAGGAAACAUAGACAAAACCACUCACACAUACGUAGAUUUACAGCUAUGGACAAUUCAGAGCAGGGGUGCUCAAUGUGUCAUUCACGAUUUACCAUGCAGUUUUGGUCGAUCGCGUGACAGCGUGCCAAAAACAAACAAAAAAAAGACAUCAGCCUAUCAUCCAUCUUGUCACUUAAUUCAGGUGUGGCAGAUACAUGAUACAUCAAUCGCACGCACACAAAAGCGCGUUCUAGCAAGCUGGCUUCCUAUUUAUGGUCUUUCUUUCAUCUUUUCCAUGGCAGUACCGACGAUGCGUGCGAUGUGUGUGUGUGUGUGUUGUGUGUGUGUGUAUGUGUGCGUGCCUGCAUGUGUUCCACAUUAAGAAGAAGCACCCGGAGGUGACGGGAAAGGGGCCAGCGCCUUGACUGACUGACAGUAGCCUAGUUUAAUUGCCGUCAAACUGUUCAAUUACGUGUAAUUGCCUUUGGUGUGACUGCCCAGUAACUAUGACAACGUGUCAACAAAAGAACACAAGCGACACGUCACUCACACGCGCAGCACUCGGAUUGACUUGGCGUGACGUUAACACUCACAUGACAUUUUCACAGGUAGGUAGAGAAAUGGAGUAACAGCUGUUAGAAACCUAACACGUUGGUUGAUACCUGACAAGUUCAAUAAGAAAUUGAUGCUUGAAAUGGUUUGAAAAAAAACAUAAAUAUUAACAUCAAGGUAAUAAAAUCACAUCACUUUGUCUAAGUAAAAGAGGUCAUCCAGACUAACAUGCUAGCUUUGUCCAAAAGAAGCGGUUUGAGAAGUGUGAGUUGCAGCCAAGUGGAUAAAUGUGUACCAAUUGUAGCCAUUAAAUCGCACUUGUGACACGAAAAAAAAAAAAAAAAAUCCUGUCCAUGCAUAAGAGGAAUCCUGGUCACCCAGGUUGAUAAGAUAUCUAGUUGUCCAAAAAAAAAAAGAAGGAAUCCAAGUUACAGUGGAGGGGAUGAACACAUGCCAAUUGAAGUCAUGAAAUCGCACUUGCAAUUUCAAAAUAUCCAUCCAUUCUCAAAACAUUGCUUAACCUAGUUAGCGUCAUGGGGAGCUGGAGCCUUUCCCAGCUGACUUUGGGUAAAAAUGUGAACUAAAUGAACUGGUCACCAUUAAGUCACAGGACACAUACUGUGCAGACGCAGACAGCCAUUUGCCAUCAUGAUCACACCAUUACUGCGUGAGAACUGAAUCCAUGCUGUCUGCACUAAAGUCAGGCAGGUGUACCAGUGAUGUGAAUAAAAAUAAAAUAAAAUAGCUUUUUAAAAAAUAAUCAGACAUCACCCAGGAAUGUUGGUCGCCCAAGCUAAUAACUUAGCUAUUAGUCCCAAAAAAGAGGUGGGUCAGAAAAAAUGGAAAAAAAUAACAUCCACAGACAAACUGGCUAGCAGUCCACUAAAAAAGGCGCGUCUGAAAUGAGAAAGAACUGCAAUGGAGCACAUGAAAACAUGCCGACUCCAGUCAUGAAAUCCCUCAUGCAAAGAACAAAAAUAAUUUUAAAACAAAAAAAGAUGCACAAAAAUUUGCUCAAGAGUACAUCGAGUCACCCAAGCUAACGAGCUUGUUGGUUGUCUAAAAAAAAAAACAGAUGGGCAGAAACCACAGUUGUAGUAAAGUAGAUGCAAGUAUAACUCAAGUCUUGAAAUCCCGCCUUUUAAACACAUUUUUAGGGAAACAAAAAUCUAGGGGAAAAAAAGAGAGGAUGCUGGUUUAACAGAUUACAAAUUGUGGGCCCAAAAGGAUGCUGGGAGAAUUUUUGGGCUGACUUCAAACACACUGCUGUGAAGAGCCUCCUGCUUUCCACAUUCUUCUCUCCACUUCCUGCGGCCUCCAUUUUGUAAAUGUACUGUACUGCACGUGACGCUCCAUCCACCACCUUGUUGAACAGCCACAAGAUGAUCGUUAUAAGCGCACUGUGGUUUUUGUUUUUCAUUUAUCUAGCUCUCUCUGCUACCGCUGUCUCUCGGCAACGCCAGACAUUCUCUUAUUAGGCUCGCCGCAUCCUGAAGCGAUGUGGCCCAACUCGACUGUACAAUUGUGGGAAAAUAGAGCCAGCGACUAACACCCGCACUCCAGGAGAUUGACCAAUGCACGUAUACUAACUCGCUGCAACAGAAAUAGUACCAUUAUGAAUAAAACUUCAGUCGUGCAUUCAUUUACAAGUCUCACUAAGUUGAUUUUUUUUCAGGCUUUCUGCUGUGAGUUAAAAUUUUAGUUUAGGAGGGAGGUUCAUAUGCAAGUGAGGAAGGAAAAAUAAUUGAGCAAUUAAGAUAAAGUGACGGACUCAAACGUGGGCCAGGAGAGCCACAGUCAUGAUACACUUUUAAUAGUAUGUUGAAGCAAUAUCCAUCCAUCCAUUUUCUUAGCUGCUUAUCCUCACAAGGGUCGCAGGAGUGCUGGAGCCUAUCCCAGCUGUCAACAAGCAGGAGCCGGGUUACACCCUGAACUGAUUGCCAGCCAAUUGCACGGGUGUUGGAGCAAUAUUUUACUGUUAAUCACCUGUCUAGGGGAAGAGCUAAAUUUAGCCUGGGUUGUUAGCAGAGUCUUCAUCGCAUGUGUAUGUUUUGUCCUGCUGAGUAAUUAUUAAAAAGUAAAAUAAAAUCAUCUGAGAUUUGUUUUGCAGAUUAAUAUCAAGUGAGUAAAUAAUUAAGUAAUAAGAGUAAUUAUUGGCCAAAUCAUGGAUAGUUUCAGGAGUAUAAAAAAUGAUGUGCCACAUUCACAGUACAAUUCUGUGAAAAUGAAUACCACCUGGAGAAAUAUUUUAGGAUGAAUAUAAUAACAUGUCAAACAAAAGCUUCACUUCAGAAAAGGUAGAUUUUUUUUUCCCCAUGCAAUUUCACAACUUGUAUUUUUAUGUAUACAUUUACAAAGAAUGCAAAACUCAAUAAAUACAAAUACAGUCGAUGGAUCACAGGCUUCAUUUAUUAGCGUCUGUUCCACUACUCUUGCUCACUUGAAAUGUGGGUGGCUUCAAACAAAAACAUGCUCUGUCCUGACUUGUUGAACACAUCUCAAUAUAAAUAGCAUGAAAUAAAAGAUGUAAUUCUGAACUUGUGUCUCAUGUAUAUCUUUUGAUCUGAAAUCCAAAUGUGUUCAGUACACAACAAAAAACUAAGGAAUUGACCUUGCCGUUCCAAUACUUUUGGAGGAGACUGAAUAAAUGACUGCAGCUUACUGAACAGUUGUGAGUGUCUUUAUGUAUAACUAUGCAUAUAAUCCAUCCAUUUUCUUAGCCGCUUAUCCUCACAAGGGUCACGGGAGUGCUGGAGCCUAUCCCAGCCGUCAACGGGCAGGAGGAGGGGUACACCCUGAACUGGUUGCCACGCAACCGCAAGGCACAUGAAGACACACAACCAUUUUCACCCAAAAUCACACCUAGGGGAAAUUUAGAGUCUCCAAUGAAUGCAUGUUUUUGGGAUGUGGGAGGAAACCGGAGUGGCCGGAGAAAACCCACACAGGGACGGAGAGAACAUACAAACUCCACACAGAUGGUUCUGGGAUUGAACCCUGGACCUCAAAACUGU